rnacentral:rRNA from 1 species
CUGCGGUGAAUACGUUCCCGGGUCUUGUACGCACCGCCCGUCAAACCAUGAAAGUGACCAACACCCGAAGUCCGAUUCGUCGGCCUAAGGUGGGGGGCAUGAUUGGGGUU